rnacentral:rRNA from 1 species
GACGGAGGAUGCAAGCGUUAUCCGGAAUGAUUGGGCGAAAGCGUCCGCAGGUGGCAGUUCAAGUCUGCUGUCAAAGACCGGGGGCUUAACUCGGAAAGGCAGUGGAAACUGAACAGCUAGAGUAUGGUAGGGGCAGAGGGAAUUCCUGGUGUAGCGGUGAAAUGCGUAGAGAUCAGGAAGAACAUCGGUGGCGAAGGCGCUCUGCUGGACCAUAACUGACACUCAGGGACGAAAGCUAGGGGGAGCGAAUGGG